UGAAAUGGCAAACCGUUGGAAACGGCGGGACGCAAAGCUAGGGAGCUAACGCGGAAACGCUAUGCCAGCCCGGCCGCCA
rnacentral:ncRNA from 1 species